ensembl:lincRNA
GGGAACACCAGCAACACGGUAAUGGAGGGGCUUCUUUGAAAUCUCAUCCUCCAGCAGUGAGGUACCAGGAUAGGCCCUCCUCCUUGGUUCUGCUGUUGGAAAAGCCCUCUUGAUGAGCUCAGGGUUGAAAGAAGUCUUUCGCAUCUUCUAGCACAUUUCAUAAGGAAGCCCAAGCCACAACAGUAGAGAAGGCUGUGGAGAAUAGAUGUCCCAGCCAGUUUCCAGCUGGCCAGUCAUCCGGCCCAGAGGCCAGACAUGAAGAAUUCCCCAGAUGAUUCCAACACCAGCAACUAUCUCUGACAAUAGCCACCUAAAGGACUCUAAGAAAAAACCACCCAACUGAGAUUGUCAACAGACAGAAUGGAAUAUGCACCAAGGAAAGGCCAUAUGAGGACAGCAGGAGAAGGUGGCUGUCUACAAGCCAGGAAAUGGCUCUCCCAGUCAACAAAUCUACCAGCACCUUGAUCUUGGACUUCCCAGCCUCUAGAACCGUGAGAAAUAAAUGUGUGUUGUUUAAGCCAAU